rnacentral:lncRNA from 1 species
AUUACAUUGGCCCAGUUUAAAGACCCAAGUUACAGUGGGCCUAUAUGGUCUAAACCCAGAAUACAAGGCCCAAGAAAUGAGCAGAGGCCCGAAGCAAUGGCCCAACACGAAAUCAGAAACCCUAGGGUUUCUGGGAUGAGGCUCGCACCGCAGCCACCUAACCAAGCUCCGAAUCUCCGUAGAUCUUCACCUGUGCAUCAAGGAAAACAAAAAUGGAAAACAAAUCAAAAGAUUUGUAAAUCAAAUAAAGAAGCAGAUUUGUUUCUUCUUUAGAUUUAUUUCAUACGGCUAUAAGAAGCCAUUGAACACACUGUAAUGAGGGCCCGAAUUCGAAAUCAAUAAAAAGCACGAUUUUUACAACACAAAGAGAGAAACAACGAAAUCUAAGGUUGUUUUAUAUUCUGUUAUUUAUUUAUCUAUUAUUAUUUGUUUAUAUACUAUUAAUAAAUAAGGAAAAAGAGAGAAACAACCUAUGUUUUGAGCCCCAGAUCGCCGUGGAUGGCCGAGGGUGUCGUCUCCGAUGAAAGACGACCGGAAGCCGAAAGGUUUCUUUGCUUUUCGGGGCACUUUCAUUGAUAUUUCGCGAUAUUUGAGCCUGAAUUUAGGCUCAGGGGGUCGAGAAGGUCAAACCGGGGGGUUUUCCCCUUUUCCGACCGCCGCAGACGGUGGUGCCGGUGCCAGAGAUCGGCAGCCGGCACGGCGGCCGACGAUCGGCCGAUGAUUGUACCGGAGGCGGGUGCCGGAGGUUGAGAACUUUUUUUUAAAAGAGAUUUUCAUUUUUUUGAAGGAUUUAAAAAAAAUGAAAUUUUGUUUAUAAUUUUGGCUUAAAUAGCCAAUUGAAAACGGCGCCGUUUUGAAGGGAGGAUCCGCGUGUUUUUCAUACGGAGGGGCAAAUUGCGCUUUUGUCCCCUCCGCCUUUUAAUAUAUUUCCAAUUAAGUAUUUUUUUGUUUUUAAAUUCGGCCUUUAAUUUAUUUUAAAUUCCAAUUUAAUCCUUUUCAACGGCGCCGUUUUAGAGGAGAAGGGAAAAUUGCCCUUCCAGCCCCUCUAUGUAAUUUGCGCGUUCAAUUUAGUCCUCCAGACUUUAUUUAUUUGCGGAUUUACCCCAUAUUUUUACUUGCAAUCCAAUUUAGUUCCUUUUUCAUAUUUUCUUUAAAAAUCAAUAUUUUUUGAUAAUGCAAUUAUUUUUUUUAUCUUUUCUUAUAAUUCUCAUAUGUGAUUAUUAUUAUUUUGUCUAUAUAUGUAUUUUUUAAAGCAUGUAUAUAUGCCCUUUUUUUGAAAACUAAUAUUUUUCGCAUACUUGUAUAUAUAUAUAUAUACUUGUUUUAUUUAUUUAAUUAACUUUGAUAUUAUUUAAUCAUUUCAAACCUAUAUAUUUUUAUGUGUACCUGUAUGCAUUUUUUGUUAUUUAUUUCAAUUAUUUGCUUAUCAAUUUAUGUUUGCAUAUUGUUUAUUAUUAUCUUGCCCAUUUGUUUGAUAUUUUGCAUGUCAUUAUUAUUUAUUUAUUCAUUUAUUCAUAUUAUUUCUAUGCCAUUGUAAUAUUUAUUAUUGCGUUGUAUAUUUAAUGUAGUAUCACAUCAUUUUUUUUACUCGAUUUCAAACUUUUCAAAAUUAAGAUAAUGCUUGUAUUUAGGAUUUUCAAGGAAAUUGAGCCCUAACGUAUUGGGUUCCGAUUUUCUUCGUUAAAUCUAACAAUCGAGCAUUUCUCUUUAAUCAAAAAAUAAGAACUCACUAUUGGGAAUUCAACACGUUGGGUCCUAACGUAUUGGAUGUGACGCAUUGAUUUCUCGAAAUAAAAAUUUCUCUAAAAAAUAAUAAAGAAAAUAUUCUGAGUUUGGGAUUUUGGAGAAAUUGUGCCCUAACGUAUUGGGCCACGAUUUCUUAAAUCUUGAAUAAAUGGAUAUUCUUUUAAAUUUUUAAUACACGAGUAUUCUGGCCUAAUUCAUUUUGAGGAAAUUAGAAUGUCGUGCCCUAACGCAUUGGGUGUGGCAUUUUCUUUCUCUGAAAUGAUAAGGGUCUUAAUACGUAACGUUUUAAGUUUUUGCUAAGGAUUAUAUUUUUCAAAUUUUCGACAUUAAGACAUUAAUUAAUUAACUAGGUACCAAUUUUUUGGGCGUUAUGAGGGUGCUAAUCCUUCCUCAUACGUAACCGACUCCCGGACCCGUUUUUCUAAAAUUCGUAGACCAAAUUCGUUUUGAGGUGGUCCAAUCACACCUUAAUAAAAGAUUGGUGGCAACUCCAAUUUUCAUCGACAACUAAUUUUUUUUUCCAAAAAUAAAAAAAUGGUUUCGACAGCUUGGCGACUCCGCUGAGGAAUUUUUUUUAAAAAAAUAAAUAAGAGAGUCGAUCCACAAAAUUGAUUAAUUUUUGUCUUAUAGUCGAAAAAAUAAAAUUCGUUUUAAAAAUCCUCUUGCAUUCAUGCUUAAUUGAUUUAAGUACUUUAAAUUAUUUUGCAUUGUACAUUACAUAUACUGGAUAAUUUUACCCUUUAAGUGGGAGCGAGAAACUAGUCCUUCGUGAGGUUUUUACCUCCGUGCAGGGUAGUGGACCGCUUUCGGGAUACAUCCGUACCUAUGUCUUCGUGAGAUUUUCAUCUCCGUGCAGUCAUAGGGAAAUGUAUUCCCCUAAAUCGAACUCGAUCCAUAUGAGCCUAUAAUGGGUGAGGAUUGAGGAAUCUGUAGGUUCGGGUACCUUUACCCUAGAAGCCGAACUUCAUAUAAUGAACCUUAGGAAUCCACCCUAGGUAGAACUAUACUAAACCCUAAUAGAUAUCCAAUUAGAGAUUUUGCUAUUUCUUGAUUAUAUCUUAUGUUUUUAUGUGAUAUUGACUUUUUGUGUUUUAUUUGCAUGACAUGACAUUUCAUUUCAUCAUAAAAGGCGUCAGUCCAUAUUCAGUUGCUAAAUAGAAGACUUAUCAUGGAAAGAGGGUUUCUUGAUAAAGUGGAGGACAAUGCGGCUGUCCGAACUUGGUCUGAAACAACGCAGCAAGAAAAGGGUGAUAGUUUGGCUGACGGGCAUGUAUCGGAGUUAUGGGACUUUACGCAUAUCAGUGUAACUCAAAACAAUUUGCAAGAAUUGAAGGAAAUCUGGGGUCAGUGGAGUGAUGAGGUUAGACAGUUAUUUUAUAAUAAUUAUGGGGAUCUGCCUUAUUUGCUUGAUGUAAAGGUAGACAAGUAUUUGUUUCAAGCCCUCGCCCAGUUCUAGAAUCCUGCUUACAGCUACUUUACGUUUGGGAAGGUUGAUUUGGUGCCUACGAUAGAGGAACAUAUGGCUUUACUCUGAUGUUCAAAGUUUCAAGUGGACAGGGUCUAUUCGAGAGCGGUAAAUGUGCCAACCUUUUCAAAAAAGCUGAUGAGUGUAACAAUAAUGAGUAAAUAGUGGGUUGUCGCACGAAUUAAGCAAAAGGGGGAUAGUAAGUGCGUUCCUUGGAGAAGCUUGAAAGAUGCAAUUCUCACACACCCAUAUGUAAGGAAAAGGUUAGAUGCUUUUGCUUUAAGUAUAUACGGCUUGGUUGUCUUCCCUAAAGCCUUGGGGUAUGUGGAUGAAGCAGUCACUGAUUUAUUCGACCAACUCGAUAAGAAGGUUACACCGAUUCCAGCAAUUUUGGCAGAAACUUUCAGGUCAUUGAGUGCAUGCCGGAAGACGGGCGAAGGUAGAUUUAUUGGAUGUGCACAGCUUCUACUCGCAUGGUUUCACAGUCACUUUUGGAAGGUGGAUAAAGUUUCGUAUCGGGUUUUCUCUGAAAAUUAUUCACCACUAAAGGAGAUAGUCGCUACGCCGAGGAGAGACGACAUUUCGAAGGAAAAAUGGAUGGCAAUUCUUCAAAAUCUUCAAGAGGAAGACGUUGAGUGGAGAGCUCCUUGGUUACUUCCAGAUGAGAUCCUGUAUAGGUGUGGUAGUUUUGAUUGUGUUCCUUUGCUGGGUAUUUGGGGAGCUACUGGAUAUGCCCCAUUAUUGGUGCUAAGGCAAUAUAGGUCAAGGUAAUUUAUACCUGCGACCCAAGAGAUAGCUGAUUGUGAAUUUUCGUACAAGGAUGAUGGUUAUAGAAAGAAGAUUCAAGAGAUAUCUAGUGCGUGGAAACAGACUCGCCGAAUGAAGAGGCUAGCUGUGGGUCCAAUGACAACUCCCGAGUAUCAUGAAUGGUGAGCUAGAAGGAUUAAUGAUAAUACACCUAAGUUAAAUCAGGAAGACAUCCAAUCAAUAGAAGAGCAUUUGCGAGUCAUUCCUUCUAAGUUGGAAAUCAUAAGGUAAGAUUUUGAGAGGAAAAAUACGGAUUUAGAGAAAAAGAUAGAGCAAAUAGAGGCGGAAAAGACGAACUUAAGAUUGGAUAUAGACGUUCAAAAGCUCAAAAAUGAGAAGUUAAAGAAAGAGAAAAAUAAGGCUGAGGAGGAGCUGGGUAGUCUGAAGACGGAUUAUAAAAAAAUACGUUUGUCAAUGAGAACUGCUGGGCUGGGAAAGACUUCAGAAUAGUGGCGAGUAGAAAUCCGAGAAGAAAAGGACAAAGCCGAUAGAUGGGAAUAGAAAUUUUAGGAGAUGCAGAGACGAAACGAAGUUUUAGAAAAGAGUUUGUCAGAAAGCCAAAAUGAAAAAUGCGAGCUAAAGGAUAGGGUGGUUGUGUUGGAAGGAUGUCUUCGUCAAUAUCGAAAUCAAAAUUUGGAAAAAGAGUUGAAAGCUAGCUUGAGCAAGAUUGAAGAAAUGAAGAAAAGAAUCGAAGAGCUAGAAACGGUGCUGUAAAAUUCUAAGAUCCAGAUCAAGCACUUAAAAGCAAACGAGAGUCGUAAUAAUGAACAGCUUCACCACUUUUAGAGUCAAGUUAGAAGCAGAGAUCAUCUUAUCGAGGAAGCUGUGGUCCAGAUUCGAGAAAUAGCUGAUCAUAUACAGACUUUAGCAGUACAGGCUGACACGCUGAGUGUGAAGUAUGAAUUCGAAUCGGAUCGGGGGCAAGAAUUAGCUUUGUUAAUUAGAAAGAUUAGAGUUCUGGGUACUAGGGCAAUGUCCUAUUUGUAAUUCACUUUAUGUAAAGGAAUUUAAUUUCUAGUAAAGUUUUCUUAUAUGGAAUUGAAUCAAAAUUGACGCCUUUCUGCAUUCAUUUCAUUUCAUGCAUUGCAUUGUUUCAUAUGUAUUAAGAAAUACAUCAAAGGAUUCUAAUUAAUUUAAAUCACUCCUUAGUUAAUCUGGAAACCAACCAGCCUACUAAACACCACUACGGUACUCAAUCGAAAACUAAGAAUAUGGAUCAAAGGAUGGAAAGACUAGAACAAUCCCAAAAGGAAAUGCAGGAGCAGCUUCAAAAGAAAAUGAAUGAGUAGCAAAAAAUGAUAGACAAAAUGAUGGAAUCUCAAGGGAGUAUGAUGGCUCAGUUAACUCAAUGGUUCAACAAAGGAACUGAUAAAGGAAAAGGCUCUGUGCUCAAUAUUGAAGAAGGAGACAAUGAGGGACCUGUCUAUCCUCCGGAUUUUACCCCCAACAAGUUGAGAUAUACCCGCGCAGGUCCUCUGUUACCAUUAAUCCUCCGGGUGACGCUGCAACGCUAUUGAAUCUCCAGAUGAAUGACCGGUUAUGUCAAUAAUGAUCAACUCUUGAUUCAUUACUUCCAGGAUAGCCUCACAGGGGCAGCAUCCAAGUGGUACAAUCGAUUGAACCGUACCCAGAUUAAUUCAUGGAGAGAUUUGGCACAGGCAUUCAUAAAGCAGUACAGCCAUGUGACUGACAUGGUACCUGAUAGGAUCACUCUGCAGAAUAUGGAAAAGAAACCAGGCGAAAGCUUUAGGCAAUACACACAGAGAUGGAAGGAGGUUGCCGUUCAAGUUCAGCCGUCUCUUCUAGAAAGAGAGAUGACGAUGUUUUUCGUCAACACAUUGAAGGCACCAUUUAUUACACAUAUGUUAGAAAGUGCUACUAAAAGUUUUUCCGACAUAGUUAUGAAUGGCGAGAUGAUAGAAAAUGCUAUCAGAAGCGGGAAAAUAGAUGCUGGAGAAAGUAGCAGAAGGGCGGCCUCGAAGAAGAAAGAGAAUGAGGUCAACAACACAAGUUCAUAUUCGAAUACAGUUAUGGUGAAUCAGCCAGGAAAAGUGGCUGUUAACCAACAAGGAUCAUCAAAGUAGAGAUCUGAUACAAGACAAAAUACAAAGAAGAUUCAAUUUACGCCAAUUCCAAUGACGUAUAGGGAGCUAUAUCAGAAUCUGUUAAAUGCACACUUGGUUUCCCCUUUCCACUUGAAACCUCUGUAGCCACCAUACCCCAAGUGGUACGAUGCAAAUGCACAGUGCGACUAUCACGCGGGAAUUGAGGGGCAUUCUAUAGAACAUUGCACAGUAUUCAAGAAGCUGGUGGAAAGACUUAUAAGCAUGGGUGUGGUUAAAUUGGAUGAUUCGCCCAGUACAGAAAAUCUGUUAUCUAAUCAUAACAGAGUGAACAUGGCAUGGGUAGAAAAAUCAAGGAAGACAUAGCAGAAGUGAAAAUUCCUUUGAGGUGGGUUUGGAGAAAUAUGGUAAAAAGAAGAUUAAGGGUUCCGAAUUUAGAGAGAAACUUCGAAAGGGUGGAAAACUACUGUGAGUUCCAUCACGAGGAAGGACAUGAAAUCCAAGAAUGCGCAGAAUUCAGAGCCCUAGUUCAAGGCCUGAUGGAUAAUAAGGAAAUGAAAUUUUAUGAAGAAGUUAAGGAGGAAGGGAGCAUUUGCACAUCCAAAUCCUCGAAGGUUCCAGAAGUAGCGCAGCCUGUGGUCAUCAUCUCGCGACCAAAAAAGGAUGAAGUGAGAACGCCAGUAAUACCAAGAAUCAUAAUAAAGAAACCUGCAACCUUUUCUUACCAGAACAGUAGGAAGGUUCCAUAGAGCUACGAGUGCAAUACAACUGUCCCUGGAAAAGAGACUAUAAAAGACCAGUGUGUGAGUGCCAAUCCAGAAUUUAUGAAAGGGGCCAUAAUAGGGGAGCAAAAAAGGAAAAUUGUUGAGCUAGUGAAGGAGGAAGAAGUUGUGGAAUUCCUCAAAUUUUUGAAACAUAGUGAGUAUAAUGUUGUCGAGCAGUUGCAUAAACAACCGGCUCGCAUAUCCGUACUAGCCUUAUUUUUGAAUUCAGAAGUACAUCGAAAUGCGUUGAUAAAGAUGCUAAAUGAGACCUAUGUGUCCAAGGAUAUUUCUAUCAGUAAACUAGAUUUGUUGGUCAAUAAUAUCAGUGCUAAUAAUUUCAUAUUUUUCAAUGAUGAUGAAAUACCUCCUGGGGGUAUGGGAUCUACCAAAGCUUUGCAUAUCACUGCACGAUGCAAAUGGCAUAUUUUGCCAGGAGUAUUGAUUGACAAUGGAUCAGCUUUGAACGUAUUGCCAUUAUUCACACUUAACAGGUUACCCAUAGACAGUUCGCACAUGAAAACAUGUCAAAAUGUAGUGAGGGUGUUUGACGGUACAGAAAGGAAUGUCAUGGGAAGAAUUGAGAUACCCCUACUGAUUGGCCCAACAGUUUAUGAGGGAGAUUUUAUUGUGAUGGACAUCAAACCUUCCUAUAAUUGUUUAUUAGGAAGACUAGGGAUACAUUCGGCGGGGGCAGUACCGUCAUCAUUACAUCAGAUGUUGAAGUUAGUGUCAGAUUGUCGGCUAGUGACAAUAAAAGCCGAAGAAGAUAUAAUAGCAGCUGUAUCCAAUGAGACGCCAUACGUGGAGACCAAUGACGAGUCAAUAGAAUGCUCAUUUCGAUCUUUGGAGUUUGUAAAUGCGGCAUUUGUUCUUGAAGGGAGCAAAAUUUUAGUGCCAAAAUUAUUCAAAACUACAGAGAUGGGUUUACAGUUGUUGGUGGGAAAAGGAGCUUUACCCGGAAGAGGGCUAGGGAGAUAUCUUCAAGGGAGGACUGAGGUUCCAAUGCUGAAAGAAAAACAAGAUCACUUUGGCUUAGGAUACAAGCCAGAUAGAGAACAGAGAAGGCAGGAGAUAGAAAAAAGGCAGGAAAGGAGAAGGACGUGUUUAAAUGGGGAGGAAGCUAAGUGGGAGCCAAUGAUAAUCCCCCACAUAACUAAAAAUUUCGUAUUUAGAGGAGUUAUUCAUCAUGAGAGAAAGAAAUUGGUUGGGGAAAGCAUCGAGGAGAUGUUAGGAAAUAUGCACAUCAAUGCCAUUCAUAAGCAGGUGAAUGAAGAGAGGAGCUGGCUGGACAUUCGUCCUUAUGAGCCCGGGAGUGCUCCAGACAAUUGGACUGCGGAAGAAAUUCCUAAAGUCUUUAGAAAUGUCUCAGAGUAAUAUUCAGAACAAACUUGUUGUUUUAGCCUAGAAAUAACAAGAACUCCUUUGUGAAAUAGGCUUAUGUUUAAACAUCAUUAUUUUAAUAAAAUACAUCUUUGCAAUUGUUUCGAGUAAAUAUUCUUUCAUUCUUUCCAUACAAGUAACUAUAUUCUUUCAUUGCACAAAUAAUUGUACAUAAAUUCAUACAUUCUUUUGUAACCAUAUUAGGUCCUUGUGUAUCAACAACGUGAAUGACACCGCUACGAGCUCAGAGUGCCCUUUUGAACGAAACAUGUGUUUAGAGGGAUCGCACGAAUUUGAAGGUGACGAAGAUAGUGGUUUAUCUUUGGACUUGUUGAGGAUGGUAGAACAAGAAAAAAAGCAAAUCCUACCUCACAAAGAAUUAGUAGAAAUUGUGAGCUUGGAAGAAGGAAAAGAGGUGAAAAUUGGAACUGAGAUUUCUGCAAAGACAAGACGAUGCCUCAUCAAAUUACUCCAAGAAUUCAAAGAUGUAUUCGCAUGGUCAUACCAAGAUAUGCCCGGGUUGAGUGCUGACAUUGUAGUGUAUCGCCUACCUAGAAAAGAGGAUUGCAAACCAGUUCAACAGAAGCUCAGAAGAAUGAGGCCUGAUAUUGUGCUCAAAAUAAAAGAGGAGGUUAGGAAAUAGUUUGAUGCUGGGUUUUUACAGGAGGUCAAAUAUUCUGGAUGGGUAGCCAACAUCGUCCCAGUCCUUAAGAAAGAUGGAAAAGUAUGAAUGUGUGUGGAUUACAGGGAUUUGAACAAAGCAAGUCCAAAGGACAAUUUCCUAUUGCCACAUAUUGAUACUCUGGUCGAUAAUACGGUGGGAUAUUCGCUAUUUUCUUUCAUGGAUGGGUUCUCAGGAUAUAAUCAGAUAAAGAUGCAUCUGGAGGAUAUGGGAAAAACUACAUUCAUUACUUUUUGGGGAACAUUUUGCUAUAAGGUAAUGCCAUUCGGAUUAAAGAAUGCAGGAGCAACAUAUCAGAGAGCCAUGGUAGCCUUGUUUCAUGAUACGAUGCACAAAGAAAUUGAAGUAUAUGUUGAUGAUAUGAUUGCCAAUUCCAAAACAGAGGAAGAACAUGUGCAGGUCCUAAGAAAAUUGUUCUUAAGACUAAGGAAGUUUCAGCUCAAGCUCAAUCUAAAAAAAUGCACUUUUGGAACCAGGUCAGAAAUUAUUGGGCUUCAUAGUCAGUGAAAGAGGAAUCGAGAUUGACCCAGACAAAGUCAAGGCAAUACGAGAUUUACCACCACCACGUACUCAGAAAGAAGUUUGAGGUUUCUUAGGAAGACUAAAUUACAUUGCUCAGUUCAUUUCACAGUUGACUGAGAAAUGUGAUCCCAUAUUUUUCCUUUUGAAGAAACAUAAUCCAGGGGUUUGGAAUGAAGAAUGCUAGAGAGCUUUUGAAUAGAUAAAGCAAUACCUAUCCAAUACUCCAGUUCUGUCACCACCUAGCCCAAAUAGACCCUUGAUUUUGUAUUUAAUGGUGUUUGACAACUUUAUGGGAUGCGUGCUGAGUCAACAUGAUGUGACUGGAAAGAAAGAAAGGGCGAUAUACUAUCUCAGUAAGAAAUUCACUGAUUGUGAAAUGAGAUAUUCGCCUAUCGAAAAAUUAUGUUGUGCUUUGGUAUGGACAACCAAGAGGCUGAGGCAAUACUUACUCUAUCAUACGACUUGGCUAAUUUCAAAAUUAGACCAUUUAAAGUAUAUGAUGGAGUCAAUGGCGUUGAAUGGGAGAAUGGCUAGAUGGCAAAUCUUGCUCUCGGAGUUUGAUAUAGUAUAUGUGAGUCAGAAGGCCAUCAAAGGAAGUGCGAUAGCAGAUUUCUUGGCUAGCAGAGCUUUAGAGGAUUAUGAACCUCUAAACUUUGAUUUCCUAAAUGAAGACUUGAUGUGUGUGGCGAACGUUGAAGAGGAUCCCCAAGAAAAUCUUUCUUGGAGAUUGAACUUUGAUGGAGCUUCGAAUGCAUUAGGCAAUGGGAUUGGGGCAAUCUUGGUAUCUCCAGACGGAGAUUAUUAUCCGUUCACCAGUAAGUUAGACUUCGAUUGCACUAAUAAUAUGGCCGAGUAUGAAGCUUGCAUCAUGGGGAUUCGAGCAGCUAUAGAGCGGAAUAUUAAGAUACUAGAAGUAUAUGGAGACUCAGCAUUGGUAAUUUAUCAAUUAAAAGGGGAAUGGGAAACGAGAGAUCCCAAGUUGAUACGUUAUCGGAGGUUGGUUCUAGAAUUGAUUGAAGAGUUUGACAACAUUACUUUUUGUUAUCUCCCACAGGAAGAAAAUCAGAUGGCUGAUGCCCUUGCUACUUUAGCUUCCAUGAUUAAAGUGAAUCAGUUAGAGGACAUGAAGCCUAUUCAAAUUAGUAUUUAUGAGAUCCCGGCCCACUGUUACAGCAUUAAAGAAGUGGGCAAUGAUAAUUGUCCCUGGUACCAAGAUAUAUUUCUAUAUGUGAAGAAUCGCGAAUAUCCUGGACAGGCAACGAAAAAUGAUAAGAGGACAUUGAGGAGACUAGCUAUUGACUAUGUCUUAGACGGAGAGAUCCUAUACAAAAGGGAAAAGGAUCGAGUAUUGUUGAGGUGCGUGGACGCUGUAGAGGCUAAGGAAAUUUUAGAAGAAGUCCAUGAGGGUGUUUGUGGAACGCACGCUAAUGGAUUUACCAUGGCUAGGCAGAUUAUGAGAUUCGGAUAUUACUGGUCCACUAUGGAAAGAGAUUGCGUCAAUCAUGCCAACAAAUGCCAUAAAUGCCAAAUUUAUGGGGAUAAAAUGCACGCGCCUCCUUCUCCUCUUAAUGUGAUGACUUCUCCGUGGCCUUUCUCCAUGUGGGGUAUGGAUGUUAUUGGACCAAUAUCACCGAAGGCUUCUAAUGGACAUUGUUUCAUUUUUGUGGUUAUUGACUACUUUACUAAGUGGGUAGAAGCAGCCUCAUAUGCUAAUGUCACGAAGUCAGUAGUCAGUAAUUUUUGAAGAAGGAGAUUAUAUGUCGAUAUGGAAUGCCUGAGAGGAUUAUAUCUGACAAUGCAUUGAAUUUAAACAACAGCACAAUAGCAGAAGUUUGUAAUCAGUUCAAUAUCAGACACCAUAAUUCGUCACCGUAUCGCCCAAAAAUGAAUGGUGCAGUAGAGGCGGCCAACAAGAACAUUAAGAAGAUUGUGGCGAAAAUGGCUGAAACUUACAAGGAUUGGCAUGAGAAGUUACCAUUCGCUCUUUUGGCUUACCGAACAUCUGUUAGGACUUCUACUAGGGCAACACCUUUUUCGUUGGUUUAUGGAAUAGAGGCAGUUUUACCCAUUGAGGUUGAAAUUCCUUCUCUCCGGGUAUUGGCUGAGUUAAAAUUGGAUGAGGUCGAAUGGAUCCAAUCUCGGUAUGAUCAGCUGAACCUGAUUGAAGAGAAAAGAUUAAAAGCCAUUUGUCAUGGUCAAAUGUAUCAGAAGCGAAUGAUGCGAGCUUAUAAUAAGAAGGUUCGUCUCAGAGAAUUUCAUGAAGGGGAUUUGGUUUUGAAAAAGAUCCUCCUUUUACAAAAGGAUUUCAGAGGGAAAUGGAUGCCAAACUGGGAAGGACCUUAUGUUGUGAAAAAGGCUUUUCUAGAGGCGCUUUGAUUUUGAGUGAAAUGGAUGGCAAAAAUCUUCCGAAUCCUGUAAAUUCAGAUUCGGUCAAGAAAUAGUUCACUUGAAGGAAGAGAGGAAUCAAAGUGAAAACCCACAAAUGGCGCUCUAAUUUCCUAAAAAAAAAGGAGAGGCCAAGGUGAAAACCUGAAAAGGGUGCCUUGAGACAAAAGGGGGUUUGAGUUGAAAACCCGAAAAGGGCGGCUCAAACAUUAUCAGAUUGGGGCAUAUGGUCAAUCUUGUUUCACUUAAGUCAACAAUAAAAGGAUAUACGAUGUCUUGGGGCAUCGGCAAAGUACUGUAGAUCCCUUAAACACAUGUUAAAUUCAGAAUGGUUCUUGGCUUGCGCGGAGAAGUUCAAGCGGCGAUAUCCAAGGCACCUAGUCUUCAUAUUAUUUGUACCAAGUUUGUUGGUUCUUGUAAAUACUUCAUUCUUUGCUGUUCUUAAAUACUUUUCCAUUCAAGACACUUAUUAUCAAUAAAUUCCUUUUUUUAAUUCGGGUUAUGACCUGAAUUAAUUCGUUUCUUACCUAGUAUUUUUGAUCUUUGCGCUAGCAUGUCGCAUUAGAAUAAUGAUUGAUGGACUAAUAAACUUUCACAAAAGAAGUUUUAUAUAUUACUCUGGGAAUUUCUAAAUAAUUUAGUAACCUGAAACAGGACUAUUGUUUAGAACACCCCAAGUUCAAAAGUUAAAGAGCCUAAGAAGGGAAAAGUCUAAAUUAAGACUACUUUUUCGGAAUUGGUUGUCUAAAUAACGAAAGAGACAGCAAGAAGUCUUGAUGGGGUAGGAAAAAGUCCCCUAUGGAAAGAAAGCUCCUCACUUGGGCAUGAGCAUUUGAUAGGACACCCUGAGAGGGGUGUAAACAAAUUUCAUAAUCUGUAUCCUUGAAUUAUGAUAGGAGAAGAUUGAGAAGAGUCAAAUUUUCCUACUCUUAAGUUACGGUGGAAGGAAUAUAGUAGAAAUUAUGUGGCCUAGAGGGUUGAGCUUUGAAGUGCACAAUGGGGGGCAAUUGGAUUAUGUGUUUCUUCGGAGAUAUCAGCCAAGCAAAAGGCGUCAGCGACAAAGCCUUAAUAAACUUUAAGAAAUGAUAAUUCUUGAAAAAUGACAUUCUGUAUUCAUUCAAAUGUCAUUCACACAUGUCUAGUUAGGAGCAUUUGAUGUAUUUUAUGCCAUCCUAAUCGUUAGGCAUAAUUAGGUUCAUUAUACAGGUCAUGUUCCUCAGAGAGUAGAUCAGUGAAGAUAACAGAUCGAGUCUUAUCUCCCUGAAGUUGCAGUGAGGCAAACUGAAGAUGGAAAAUCUUAUCUCCCUGAAGUUGCAGUGGAGUAGAUUAAAGUCGGUAAUCCUAUCUCGCUGAAGUUGCAGUGAGCGGAUUAAAACUUUAGAUCUUAUCUCUCUGAAGUUGCAGAGAGCAGAUCACAUCUAGUCUUAUCUCCCUAGAGUUGCAGUGGAGCAGAUUAAGUAGGCAAGUCUUAUCCUCCUGAAGUUGCAGUGAGACAGACUGAAGAUGGCAAAUCUUAUCUCCCUGAAGUUGUAGUGGAGCAGAUUAAAGCCGAUAAUCCUAUCUUCCUGAAGUUGCAGUGGAGUGGAUUAAAACCUUGGAUCUUAUCUCUUUGAAGUUGCAGAGAGUAGAUCGUAUUUAGUCUUAUCUCCCUGAAGUUGCAGUGGAGCAUAUUAAAGCCGAUAAUCCUAUCUUUCUGAAGUUACAGUGGAGUGGAUUAAAACUUUGGAUCUUAUCUCUCUGAAGUUGCAGAGAGCAGAUCGUAUUUAGUCUUAUCUCCCUGAAGUUGCACCAGGAGCAGACUAAAUCAAGUUGAAGCUAUAAAAGUUCCAGUAAAGUAGAUUGAAGCAUUAGUUCCUAUACCUCUGAAGAUGCAGUAGGAAGGAAUGAGGCUACUUGAAGAAGAAGAAAAGUACCAAGAUCCGGCAAGACCGGGCAAAAUCGAGCGUUUUAAAGUCUUUGCUCCGUUUCUGUUACACGACAACAAGCAAAGAGGGGCAGCUGUAACACCCAAUUAUUGCCCGGUCCAGUAAACGCAAAAACAGAUAAAAAUAAUAAUAAAUAAUAAUAAAUAAAGGUCCAAAUGUCCAUUACAUUGGCCCAGUUUAAAGACCCAAGUUACAGUGGGCCUAUAUAGUCCAAACCCAGAAUACAAGGCCCAAGAAAUGAGCAGAGGCCCGAAGAAAUGGCCCAACACGAAAUCAGAAACCCUAGGGUUUCUAGGAUGAGUCUCGCGCCACAGCCACCUAGCCAAGCUCCGAAUCUCCGUGGAUCUUCACCUGUGCAUCAAGGAAAACAAAAAUGGAAAGCAAAUCAAAAGAUUUGUAAAUCAAAUAAAGAAGCAGAUUUGUUUCUUCUUUAGAUUUAUUUCAUACGGCUAUAAGAAGCCAUUGAACACACUGUAAU